UUAUGUAUAAAUAGAUGUACAAUGAGGGCUUAGUACAAGCCCGUCUUCUAGGUGGCGCCUUGCCCGUUCUGAAUUUUUGUAUUCCCCUACGAUUUUCUUUGAGGGGAAUCCGUUAAACCCGCCCAUCGUUCAAAAAUGGAAGGGCGCGAGGUCACAUCUAUUGGGCCACUUAUUAGCACGUUUCACCCAUGUUUUACGAAAAUAGCUUUAUCCUUGUUUGUUUCAACUGUGACAAGAAAAAAGGAAAAAAAGUUAUAUUCGCUUCUAAAUUCGGCAGAUCAACAAAGAUCAACAAAAGAUCUUUCUCGACUUGUAAUUUCGUUUCGUUUAGGUUAUGUCUUAUAAAAAUAAAUAUUUAUAAGCUUUUGAAUUGAAAUAUACCUUAAUGCAUAUCUGAGUAAUUAAAAAAUUCAGUUUUUUCGUCCCUCGCGAAGAAACAUAAACAGUAUUUGUGAAAUUUGGAUUAGAAACUAUUAUUUUAUUAGUUUAUUUUGUUGUGUUUAAGUGUUGUGUAUUUGUACCUACUGGAUAAUAUUUUCCAACAUAUUUAAUUAAGCAAAAAGCAUCUGUUUUACAGGUGUGACUGCUAAGUGGUCGUACUCGCCACUUUAACCAAGCAUUGGUGGGACCUUCAGAGAUCAUAAUGCGAAUUUCUUCAUACCAUGUAAAUCUAUAUACAUGUAUUAAUAAAUGCGUUUGCUUUA